AGAAGAGUUUCAGAGAUGCUUUGAAGCAAGUCUAUGAGUUGAACAAGUGCCCUUCACUGCAAGAGAGCAUAAAAUAUGCCAUAGAGGAUGACUGUUCCGUGAUGAAAACGGCGUUUCUUCGUUGCACGGCAGGGGCAGGCAUUACCAAGGAAGUACCAGUGGAUGAAGCUCAUGCGUUGAUUGCAGAGGCAGUUAAAAAGCUGAGGAUAAAACCCAUAUUCUAUGAUGGGUAUAUCAGAAAGAAGAUAGACAUUGUCAAACCUAUAGGAGUGAUUACUGAG